rnacentral:rRNA from 1 species
CCUACGGGAGGCUGCAGUGAGGAAUAUUGGUCAAUGGCCGGAAGGCUGAACCAGCCAAGCCGCGUGAGGGAGGAAGGCGCAGAGCGUCGCAGACCUCUUUUGCCGGGGGACAAAAGGCCGGACUCGUCCGGUCCUGAGGGUACCCGGAGAAAAAGCAUCGGCUAACUCCGUGCCAGCAGCCGCGGUAAUACGGAGGAUGCGAGCGUUAUCCGGAUUCAUUGGGUGUAAAGGGAGCGUAGACGGUUAUGUAAGUCUGGAGUGAAAGCCCGGGGCCCAACCCCGGGACUGCUUUGGAAACUGUGUAACUGGAGUACAGGAGGGGCGGGCGGAAUUCCUGGUGUAGCGGUGAAAUGCGUAGAUAUCAGGAGGAACACCGGCGGCGAAGGCGGCCUGCUGGACUGAAACUGACGUUGAGGCUCGAAAGCGUGGGGAGCAAACAGGAUUAGAUACCCGUGUAGUC